AGACCCUUGCGUCUUCCGGAAGCGGAGCCCUGGACCCGCAACGGCUGGGUGUGCGACCACGGUGGUGGCUGGCGCGCCUGAGAAGACAAGAACUAAAGGGAACCCGGGCCUGCCUCCCGCGCCGGGCUGGAACAUCAUGGACGAAGCAGGCAGCUGUGCGAGCGGCGGAGGGUUCCGCCCGGGCGUGGAUAGCCUGGACGAGCCCCCCAACAGCCGCAUCUUCCUGGUGAUCAGCAAGUACACGCCCGAGUCGGUGCUGAGGGAGCGCUUCUCGCCCUUCGGCGAGAUCCAGGACAUCUGGGUGGUGCGGGACAAGCACACCAAGGAGUCCAAGGGCAUCGCCUUCGUCAAGUUUGCCCGUAGCUCGCAGGCCUGCAGGGCCAUGGAGGAGAUGCACGGCCAGUGCCUCAGCCCCAACGACACCAAGCCCAUCAAGGUGCAGGUUUUCAUUGCUCAGUCCAGAUCAUCUGGAAGUCACCGAGAUGUUGAAGAUGAAGAACUGACAAGAAUAUUUGUCAUGAUACCAAAGUCCUACACAGAAGAAGAUUUGCGGGAAAAAUUUAAGGUGUAUGGAGAUAUCGAAUACUGCAGCAUUAUUAAGAAUAAAGUAACUGGAGAAAGUAAAGGUUUGGGCUAUGUUCGAUACUUAAAACCAUCACAAGCUGCCCAAGCAAUAGAAAACUGUGAUCGAAGUUUUAGGGCAAUCUUGGCUGAACCUAAAAAUAAAGCAUCUGAAUCCUCAGAACAAGACUAUUAUAACAUGAGGCAGGAGACAUUGGGACAUGAACCUAGAGUAAAUAUGUUUCCAUUUGAACAACAAUCUGAAUUUUCAAGUUUUGACAAGAAUGACAACAGAGGCCAAGAAGCUAUCUCCAAACGCCUGUCAGUUGUAUCAAGAGUUCCUUUCACUGAAGAGCAGCUUUUCAGUAUUUUUGAUAUAGUACCAGGAUUGGAAUACUGUGAAGUUCAACGAGAUCCUUAUUCUAAUUAUGGUCAUGGAGUGGUUCAGUAUUUUAAUGUAGCAUCAGCUAUUUAUGCAAAAUACAAGUUACAUGGAUUUCAGUACCCUCCUGGGAAUCGGAUAGGUGUUUCCUUCAUUGAUGAUGGGAGUAAUGCAACAGAUCUCCUUAGAAAAAUGGCAACGCAGAUGGUAGCAGCACAGCUUGCAUCAAUGGUGUGGAAUAACCCAAAUCAGCAGCAAUUUCUGCAAUUUGGAGGAAAUUCUGGAUCACAGUUGCCUCAAAUCCAGACAGAUGUUGUACUUCCAUCAUGCAAAAAAAAAGCCCCUCCUGAAACUCCUGUGAAAGAAAGACUUUUUAUCGUGUUUAAUCCUCAUCCUUUACCUUUAGAUGUAUUAGAGGAUAUUUUCUGUCGUUUUGGUAACCUGAUCGAAGUUUACCUUGUGUCAGGAAAAAACGUGGGGUAUGCCAAGUAUGCAGAUAGAAUAAGCGCCAAUGAUGCCAUUACUACUUUACAUGGAAAGAUCCUUAAUGGAGUCAGACUUAAAGUUAUGUUGGCAGAUUCCCCAAGGGAAGAAUCUAACAAACGACAGAGAACUUACUGAUUCUUGAGCAUUUUCCCUCCAGAAAUUCAGUACCUGUUUACAUCAUCCUUCUGAAACAAAGACUAAAUAAUGACAUAAUCCUCAGCUGACUGACUGAAAAUGUGACUGGACGCACUCCCUGUGGACAGUUGACAGCUUUUUUUUUCAUAUACCUGGUAGUCCGUGCACAACAUUGUUUUGUCUGGGGAGCACGAAUUGUUGACAUGAAUUUUUGAAUCCACACGUCAGUGCUAAAACUAAUAUAAUAGUUGUUUCUUAGAGCAAUAUGUUGUUAUGUGUAGCAGAAAUAAAGUUUUCUUUGCUUGACUAAA